CCUUGGAUGGCUAAAUGGUAAGAAUCUGCCUGCAAUGCAGGAUACCCAGGUUCAAUCCCUGGGCUGGGAA
rfam:TPA: Bos taurus chromosome X, whole genome shotgun sequence.